GUUCUUAUAGUUGAAUAUACAACGGUAGUUUUUCAAGUUGUUAGUCUUGGUUAGAGUCCAAGUAAGAAUA
rnacentral:tRNA from 1 species